AUGAACGCUGGCGGCGUGCUUCACACAUGCAAGUCGCACGAGAAGUGAAGACGGAAACCUUCGGGCGGAAGGCUUUAUUUCGAGUGGCGGACGGGUGAGUAACGCGUGGGUAACCUGCCUCAUACAGGGGGAUAACAGUUGGAAACGACUGUUAAUACCGCAUAAGACCACAGCACCGCAUGGUGCGGGGGUAAAAACUCCGGUGGUAUGAGAUGGACCCGCGUUCGAUUAGCCAGUUGGCGGGGUAACGGCCCACCAAAGCGACGAUCGAUAGCCGAUCUGAGAGGAUGACCGGCCACAUUGGGACUGAGACACGGCCCAAACUCCUACGGGAGGCAGCAGUGGGGAAUAUUGCACAAUGGGGGAAACCCUGAUGCAGCGACGCCGCGUGAGUGAAGAAGUAUUUCGGUAUGUAAAGCUCUAUCAGCAGGGAAGAAAAUGACGGUACCUGAGGAAGAAGCCCCGGCUAACUACGUG
rnacentral:rRNA from 1 species